CUGGGAUUCUACGGAAAUAAUAUCGCUUGUGGUGUUAUUUGUAAUUUGCUCUUCUCCAAU
rnacentral:misc_RNA from 1 species